rnacentral:rRNA from 1 species
CCUACGGGAGGCAGCAGUGGGGAAUAUUGCACAAUGGGGGAAACCCUGAUGCAGCGAUGCCGCGUGAGUGAAGAAGUAUUUCGGUAUGUAAAGCUCUAUUAGCAGGGAAGAAAAUGACGGUACCUGUUUAAGAAUCCCCGGCUAAUGACGUUCAAGCAGCCGCGGUAAUACGUCGGGGGCAAGCGUUAUCCGGAUUUACUGGGGGUAAAGGGAGCGUAGGCGGCAGAACAAGUCUGGAGUGAAAUGCCGGGGUUUAACCCCGGAACUGCUUUGUAAACUGUGCAGCUAGAGUGCAGGAGCGGUAAGUGGAAUGCCUGGUGUAGCGGUGAAAUGCGUAGAUAUUAGGAGGAACACCAGUGGCGAAGGCGGCUUACUAGACUAUAACUGACGUUGAGGCUCGAAAGCGUGGGGAGCAAACAGGAUUAGAUACCCCAGUAGUC